rnacentral:rRNA from 1 species
UACGGGGGGGGGCAAGCGUUGUUCGGAAUUACUGGGCGUAAAGGGUUCGUAGGUGGCCAACUAAGUCAGACGUGAAAUCCCUCAGCUUAACUGGGGAACUGCGUCUGAGACUGGAUGGCUUGAGUGCAGGAGAGGAACGCGGAAUUCCAGGUGUAGCGGUGAAAUGCGUAGAUAUCUGGAGGAACACCGGUGGCGAAGGCGGGUCUCUGGGCCGAUACUGACGCUGAGGAGCGAAAGCGUGGGGAGCAAACAGG